GUGUUGGCUUUCUGACUUGCCCGGGGGAGGCGGGAGCGGGGCAGAUUGGGAAAUAUUUUCACUACGUCUGACAAUAAUUUCACCCAAUUAGACUCUCCGUCAACUGGUGCUUAAUCCACUGUGGCCGCUGGUUUUCAGAGAUACCCUGAGCCAUGAAUCACAACAUUCCAUAAUCUGCAUCGGAUUCAAGAGUUAAUACGACGGUACCAAAGAGGCAGGACUGAAAUUGUAGACACCAGUGUAUAGAAAUUUGAGAGAUGGAGCUCCGGAGUUAACACUCGACUCUCUCGAGCAAAACAAGACCUGUACUAUUUGUGAUGAAAUUGCAAGAAAACAUUUAUGUAGCAAUGCGGAGGAUAAAACAGGAGAAACAGGAAAAAAGUUUGCAAGGUAAACUCCAGGAAAGCUUCACAAAAUGGGUCCUACAGACAAGGCAAUUAGUGACAACCUGGUGAAGUUUAAGGAUUAACAGUGGUCCAUCAUCUAGUUUCUGUCGUGACCAGUGUUAAAAUUUUCUGCCUACCCACACCUUAAGUUUAGUGGGCUCAUUUACCAUCAUCAAACAUAGGUGAAAUACCAUCCUACAGACUGCAUAUAAGCCUAAAAUUUCAUUUGAAGACUUUGUAAUUUAAGGGUAUUUCCAUGUCUCCUUAGGAAGCAACAAUACUAUUUUUAUACAUCUAAAUUAAAUCUGUUUUUAAAUAUUAGUUUACAGUGGAUUUAUAAUUUAUGCUCUGGUAAUAUUUUUAUAAUUUAAAAAAUGCUGAAUUUUUGUAAAUACUUCUCUUUUUUUGCUUAACUUCAAUUAACUUUAAUAUUUGAAAAGGUGCUACUGUAUUGUCCUGCAAGCCAUCCCACAUAUCAGAAGCAUCCUCAUCUGUCAUAUAUAAAUACACAAGUGAAAAUACCAAGCACUAAUUUAUCUCAUACACUUUUACCUCAGUGUUGAUUAUCACAGACAAAACAGCAAAUAAAUAUACCAAUAUUAAUAUACAAAUGAAUUUGCACGUAAAACCUGACUGCAUGAAUAGUUUUACAAAAUGUAACUUGUUUAUCAACAGUAUGGAACACAGGUUAUUUGAAAGCAAUAGAGCAGCUGCUAAAAAAAAAAAAAAAGCCUUGAAACCAUAUGACAGGAGUAGAAAAA